CCCCCACCCCCUCUUCCCCCACACCGAGAUUCUUCUGACACCACUGGUCACCGAGGGGUCCCCUGUGAACACUCCCGCUCCUCCUGUGAAAAGGAAACAGGGCUGUGCCUAGCUUCUGCCUACCACAGGUAAAUGGAGGAGAGCAUGGGAUGGAGGGAAGAUCCCUUGACCCCCCCCCCCCCCCCCCCCCCCCUUCCCACCUCUUUCCCAACGCUAGUCUUUCAAUGCAAGGUCUUGUUCAUCUAAAUACAUAACCUUUUCCCAACAGAGAUUAAUCAUCCAAUUGCUUCCCAAUGAAUAAAUCCAACUCGGACAGGAAAGAAUGGCACUGGAUCAUGAUUUGGGUGCUGUUGGUGGUCUCCAUGUGAUCUAGUAUUAAUCAUUAGGGUUGCCUGAUAAAGGCGAGAUUAAAAUGAACCCUUCAGAACUCGUGGCCAUUCUUUUCUUAGCCUUUGAUUGACCAAGUUUAAGGUCAGUCUCUGCAUACAUCCAUAACUCGCCAACUCCCACUUUUCCUGCUGUGUCCCUAAUUUUUCAAAUGCCAGGAACGUUGACGCAUAUCUCCGCGAAGCUUCCCUGUUUCGGCACCAGUUCCAAGCCCUGUCCAAGGCCACACUGCCAGUAACAAAACAAAAGAACGAAGUGCUGAAGUAACUCAGCGGGUCAGGCAGCAUCUCUGGAGAACAAGGAACAGGCGACGUGUCGGGUUGGGACCCAUCUUCAGUCUUAUCCAGAGAUGUUGUCUGACCUGCUGAGUGGCUCUAGCACUUUGUAUCUUUUUUUUUGUGAACUGGCAUCUGCAGUUCCUUGUUUCUCCACUGUCAGUAACAGCUGUCCAGGUGAACAAGCCUAGACCCAGUGAUAUUAGAAGUAGCAAGCCCAGUCUUCUAGGUACCAUGCCACAAGAUACAGGUCUACCACUGAUUUUCCGGCACCCUUGGUUCCAGAUCUUAUCUGGAUAUUCCCUUUUGUCGGAUAGGUCAUGGCCACCGAGAGGGGUCCCAACGAUAUGGGAACGGUCGGCCUAGGCUGUGAUGCCGGCCCGCAAAGUAGGCCUCGGAAAAGAAUGGGAGUGAAACUGCUGGCUCCGGCCAGGCAGGAGUUCCUGAGCUCCGGCUGCAGAGGGCAAAUUUGUGUUCUCAUGGUGGGUAUUUCCAGAGGAAUGUUGUCAUUACCUCCAUUCCUGACACUGCGAAUGCUUAUCAUUAUACUGUCCAAGCAGACACCAACCCUGAAUCCUCACAACUGUUCUCCAGCUAAUGGCUUUGACAGAUGGAAGUUAUUGUAACGUUUCCUUCUGUUCCAUUGUAGCUCGAUGGGAAUAGUUGAAAUGAGAUAAAACAGCCUUCAUAAAUUUCUCCCCUGUUUUUCCCCGAAAUACCACUGCCAAGAGUUCCCAUAGAUAUUUGAGAGAAAUCGUGACAAAUUGCAGGCGCGUAUGUGGCUUUUAUAAACACUUUCACCCUGUGGAAACGAGAUUCCAUUCACCCCUACAGUUCAGGAGAUAAAGCCAAGAAAUAUUCGGCCAAAUAAAUCUGUUGAGGAAGUUGAGGUUCGAUGUUGAAUUUUAAAGUCUCUGCUUCAUGAACAUUUGUGCAGUGAUUGGGAAAAAUCCUGAGGAAAUUGAGCGCAUCCAUCGUUCAAAUUAAGUUAUGAUUUAUAACUAAUCCAAUGAAUUGUGUGUUUGAUUCAAAAUAAUCCCAAAUGAAGCAUCAAUUUAGAAAGGCCAAAUAUUGCAAGCAUGUUUGAUAAAAUCAAAAGGUAAACACAGCAGGUAGCUGGUCUAAGGUAGACACAAAAUGCUGGAGUAACUCAGUGGGUGAGGCAGCAUCUCUGGAGCGAAGGAAUGGGCAACUUUUCGGUUCAACCAUUCCUUCACUCCAGUGAUGCUGCCUCACCCGCUGAGUUACUCCAGCAUUUUGUGUCAACCUUCAAUUUAAGCCAGCAUUUGCAGUUCUUUCUUAUAUAGGUAGCGGGGUCUAUAUCAACAUGAUUUGUACAUCGCUUGGGAAAUGAUCAGUGGGUCACUUUUGUGCUGUGCUUUCGUUGGGAACUUAACUUUUAUUUUGCUGGAAGCUUUGAGCAGUCGAACCUCCACUGAUCAUGGUUCAGUUUGUUGUGUCCUAAACCAGUUGCGUUCUUAAUAUGAGGGAAUGCACCAAACGGCAGUGGGACUUUAUUUGUUUUUUUUUAAUCUGCUUGGAUAAAAAAAAAGUAUGCUUGCCUAUUUUGCGUUUAUUAACAUGGCAAUGGGGAUGGUGAACACGGAGUGCGUAUUUACCGUGCCUUUGUAGAUUUUCAGGUGCGUUGGUGCACCUGUGGGCAUCUUUAUUAGGUUGGGUUCUGGAGUGAGCACUCUUUGUUUGUAGGUAUGUGGCAUGCAUCACAACUUGGGCUAGCACUGGCCACCCUCUAUGUGUGUGUGUGUCCACUUUAGAUGGCAUAGGGAAAUGGGUUAUGUCAUGUUAUGGUUGGGUUAGGAGCUAGAGAAGUAACAUGAAGGCUGUACACAGUGGAGAAUCAUGUUGGACAUGCAUGGCAUAGGAGCUAUGGGUUUUAUUCAAAAGUCCUGGAGAUUUUAAGGAGUUUAUAAGUUCUCUUUGUAAUGGAGGUGGUGAGAGUUGGAGUUGUGCCAUCUCUGUUUUAUCUGCCUCCACCCACCCCUUCCAUGGCCAAUAUUGGCUGAAGCAUCAAGAUAACCCUAUCUUCACUCUUCAAUCAAUAACACACACACAUAGACACAAAGUGCUGGAUGACACCAGCAUUUUGUGUCUGUCUGAAGGUGUAAACCAGCAUCUGCGGUUCCUUCCUACACACUGAGCCUGACCACACUUCCACUGUUGAAUGUGGAAACUUGCGUGCACAAAAUGGUACCCUCGCUGUCCCACUGAGGGCAUUUCAAACCGCACUGCGUUGACGGCAAGGCGUCUUCAUGAAUGCUGCUGAGGUUUGGGAGAGCUGUGUAAAUGUUCUUUCCGAUCUUCUGGACAUUUGUUUUGUUUGACCCGCUGCCUCAGGCUGGAUGAGCAGCUGGAAGUUGCAGUUACUCUCCUGCCUUCUAGUCACUAAAGUAUCGGUGGUGGAUCUUAUCCGCUGAUGAACGUGACCCCCCCAUCUGAGUCUGUGUUGGGAUUGCUUGUUCACUGGUUGGCUCACAUUAAUUAAGCCAUCUGUUUUCACCUUCCCCCUCUCCACCCCAGCCUCCAGUUGUGGGGAAAGGCUGCACCCAUUUUGUUGUGUGAAUAUCAAAUAUCUUCUGUUCACCAGCUGUGUGUAUGGAUUAACAAAAAGAUCGGAAUUAUCAACUCGGAAUAGAAGCUCCCUCCAAAAUCCUCAUAUUGUGCCAGCAUCAUAAUGUAGAAACGAGGAACUGCUGUUGCUGGUUGGUACACAAAGUGCUGGAGUAACUCAGCGGGUCAGGCAGCAUCUCUGGAGAACGGGGAUGGGCAGUGUUUGAGGUCGAGACCCGUCUUCAGAUUGAACACGCUUUGGAGUCGAGACCUUUGUUCAGAUUGGAGAAGGGUCUCGACCCAAAACGUCACCUGUCCUUGUCCUCCAGAGAUGCGGCCUCACCCGCUGAGUUACCCUGGCACUUUGUGUCCUUUCGUGCAAGCACCACUACUGGUUGAAGAGAGGCUGCCCACUGUUUUCCUGCACUUCCUAUUUUGACUUGUAUGUUUCCCAUCUCUCCUUGGGAUGUUUUUUUGUACAAAGUAAAUCUCGGCCAAACAUUAUUCCGGACUGGGUGGAUCAAUGGGGCGGCAAGGACAAAAUAGUCCAGGCAUAAAAAUGUCCAUCUGCACAACUUGUGUGACCCAGUCAUGGGAGUGUGAUUACUUAUUUCAUUUGUGAGAAUUAUUUUUUUUUUUUGGUUGUAGAACUUUAUAAUUGCUAUUGCAACCACUUUUUUUUGUAAAAGGAUGGUUUUGUAUUCUUCAUGUUGUGUGAACUACUGAAAAUGGGGCUUUAAAUUGUGGGCUGAUGUUAUUUUGCUUUUGCUUCACUGUGGCGUAUGCUGAUUGAAUGUAAAUAACUAAUUAAACUACCAUAUCUGGCACCGCCUGCACGUUCAACGAGUUAGAUAUUGGUCGCAAAGUACAAGUUGAAGAGUUGACAGGCUGGAGGUAUCGGUCUGAAGGGUCCCAACCUGAAACAUCAUCACCUAUCCACAUUCUCCAGGGGAUGCUGCCUGAGAUACUCCAGGAUUUUGUGCCUCUCCAGACUAAUUGCUGGCUUAAGUGUCGAAUCCCUGGCUGGAACUGAGCUAGUGUGUGACGGGGCGGGAUGAAUCGGCCACGUUUCCCCAUUAUCUUGUGGUGCCAAAUGUUCUUUCUAAAGCUAAAAUCCCUGAUCUUCCACCAGUUGCAUAUAUGAGAUCUUUAGAGUGUAGCAUAGGACACACAGUGCAAUGGCCAGAGUUGACCUCCACUACUAUAGCUUGAGCUAAUGCUGAAUAUUUGCACUUUGAUCAGUCUGGUCAGCACUAUGGUGCACGUGCCUUAUAUAUCUGGCUCGUUAUUGAGCAAUGCCAAAAAGCAAGUGGUGAAAGACUGCUUCCUUCUGGUUUUGUGAGUGCUCCUCUCCUUUAGGUUUGCAGUCUGAAGCUUCUGCUCCUUUCUUAGACCCAAGCUUUCACCUCUGAAGCCUUUCCAGAAACCCACUUGCUGUCGGCUUGGGCGGCAUAGCAGUGGAGUUGCUGUUCCACCGCGCCAGAGACCCGUGUUAGAUCCUGACAACGGGCGUCGACCUUACAAAGUCUACGUUUUCCCCGUCACCCGCGUGAGUUUUCUCCGAUGGUUCCGGUUUCCUCCAACACUCCAAAGACGUACAGGUCUGUACGUUAAUUGGCUUUGGUAAAGAUUGUAAAUUGUCCCCAGUGUGUAUAGGAUAGUGCUAAUGUACAGGAUCGCUAGUCGGCAUGGAUUCGAGUGCGCUGUAUCCCUAAACUAUUCAGGCCAACUUCCUAUGAUAGAAAAGUACAAGUGCAUGGCUACAGUUCAACUCAACUCUGCACAAUGACAGUACGCGGGGUUGGUGCUUUAAGGAUAGGGGAAAAUAAAACUAUACAGGUACUUUUAAUUCACUGUAUUGCAUUUUACUUUCACUUCACGUUAUGAUUGAGCAAUGCAUUUUAAUGCCCUUGGUUAGUUGCUGAGUUAAUGUGGACAAAGGGUGUUGGUUGUUAGUUUAAAAAAAAAUCUAUAUCAAAAUCACAUGGGCUGUAUUCAAACGAAACAUUUCUUCCACAUUAAUGUUUGAACCAAAGAUUAAAAUUUUGAAAAUGUUUGAUAAGCUGGCAUGGAUCUUUUUACAACAGCAUUGUGUACUGAUGCCUGUUCAUUGUGAAGUUGUAUUUGAGUUUGCGUGGCAAUAUAUAUUAUUCUAUCAAAAGCACACAAAACAAUUGGCCACUGAUCAACGAGUCAAAACUGCUGCACUAAUAAACACAUUUUUUUGAAAGUG